rnacentral:rRNA from 1 species
CCUACGGGUGGCAGCAGUGAGGAAUAUUGGUCAAUGGACGAGAGUCUGAACCAGCCAAGUAGCGUGAAGGAUGACUGCCCUAUGGGUUGUAAACUGCUUUUAUACGGGAAUAACACGUCUCACGUGUGGGGCUUUGCAUGUACCGUAUGAAUAAGGACCGGCUAAUUCCGUGCCAGCAGCCGCGGUAAUACGGAGGGUCCGGGCGUUAUCCGGAUUUAUUGGGUUUAAAGGGAGCGUAGGUGGAUUGUCAAGUCAGUUGUGAAAUUUUGGGGCUCAACCGGAAAAUUGCAGUUGAAACUGGCAGUCUUGAGUACAGUAGAGGUGGGCGGAAUUCGUGGUGUAGCGGUGAAAUGCUUAGAUAUGACGAAGAACCCCGAUUGCGAAGGCAGCUUACUGGAGUGCAACUGACGCUGAUGCUCGAAAGUGUGGGUAUCAAACAGGAUUAGAUACCCUUGUAGUC